rnacentral:rRNA from 1 species
UACGUAGGUGGCAAGCGUUGUCCGGAUUUACUGGGCGUAAAGAGCGUGUAGGCGGCUUGGUAGGUCUGCUGUGAAAACUCGGGGCUCAACCCCGAGACGUCGGUGGAAACCACCUUGCUAGAGUCCGGAAGAGGAGAGUGGAAUUCCUGGUGUAGCGGUGAAAUGCGCAGAUAUCAGGAAGAAUAUCCGUGGCGAAGGCGGCAUCUCUGGUACGGCACUGACGCUGAGACGCGAAAGCCGUGGGGAGCGAACAGG